UGGGACCUCACCGUCACAGAAGAUGGCACGCUGAGCCUCUCAAACCCAAAAAAGAAGGGCCAGACAAAGUCUUGGAUGUGCCACGACAGCACUGAGGAUAAUGGAGUAGAAGGGUUUGAAAUUUGCUGUGAGCUUCAAUGUCUCGACGAUGGGUUGAAACAACAUCUC